GCGGACGCGCAGUUUUUGUCGUCGAGUCAAAGUGCGCGGAUCGCUUGAGAAGCGCCUCAUAUUCCUGCCAAAUUUAGUUAAAUAUUUGUUAAGUGCAAGUUUAGGUGUUAGUUGUUGUUGGUGUUUAGCCAAGUUCGACAGCAGGUGCAAAGGUGCAAAAGUGAGGUAAUUUAAAAACAAGUUCGCUAGUUUCGGUUGGAAAGCAAAGCGAAAGAGAUGGGAAAGUUCGAGUAUUCACUGGGUCUCAAUGAGCUCAAAUCAAAGGAGCUGCGAUUGUGGCAGGCCCUGAUCGGAGAAUUCCUGGGCAACCUGAUCCUCAAUUUCUUUGCCUGCGGAGCGUGCACUCAAAUUGAGGAUGGAACCUUUAAGGCUUUGGCUUUUGGCCUGGCCAUUUUUAUGGCCAUCACGAUUGUGGGCCACUUGAGUGGUGGGCACGUGAAUCCCGCUGUUACCGCUGGAAUGUUGGUCGCAGGUCGAAUCAGUUUGAUCAGAGCAAUUUUCUAUGUUAUUUUCCAGUGUUUGGGUGCCAUUGCUGGAACAGCGGCUGUUAAGAUCCUCAUCGAUCAGGACUACUACAAUGGCUUGGGUCACACUUCCUUGGCGCCGAACAUCACAGAGCUGCAAGGACUGGGCAUCGAGUUCUUCCUGGGACUUUUGCUGGUCCUCGUGGUGUUUGGAGCCUGCGAUCCCAACAAGCCGGACUCCCGCUACACGGCGCCCCUGGCCAUCGGAAUGGCGGUGACCCUGGGUCACUUGGGCACCAUUCGGUACACCGGAUCCAGCAUGAAUCCCGCCCGCACCAUGGGCACUGCCUUCGCCACCGAUAACUGGUCGUCGCAUUGGGUGUACUGGGUGGGACCUGUGCUGGGGGGCGUGGCAGCCGCCCUUCUGUAUACCCAGAUUCUGGAGGCGAAACCUGCCCCGAAAGUGACGGAGGCAUCCGAAAAGUACCGCACACACGCCGAUGAACGCGAGGUGAGAGUCAGGUUGAUAAGUGCCUGGAGCGAGGAGUCAUUCUACUGAUCAGUGAUCAGUGAUCAGUGAUCAUCACACCCACUCCAUUACACACACACACCCAUCACACACCUAUCACUCACCUCUCACGCACACCUGCAUUAUGCGCAAACUGGAGGGCGCCGCACGCGAUUAUGCUUAGGAACAGCUAAACUUAAGCGUCUCGAAUCUAGAGAAAGAUAAAAACCAGAGGAGAACACAAUUCUUCAUUUAAUCUAUUCAUUUCAGUGUCAUAAUUAUGUCGUGUACUUUCUCGUUCGUGUGUAUUUAUGUAUUUAUUCAUAAAAGGUUCAUUUUUAUUUAACUAAUACUUAAAUGUGUAAGCUGCCCUAAAAUGCAAUCUACGAAACAAAAUUACUUGUACUCUCAUUCGUUCACAAUAAAGUGGAAAACAUUAAAUGAAAAGUA